UGACGUCACGCGUUACCUAGUACCACAAAAACGACAGGCUAUUCAUGGAGCUAGGAGAAAAGCAGCCUAAUUUCCAGGGAAAAGCAAAGCCGAAUUCUGUUCCCUGAUUGGACGCACCGCUGGUUUUUCAUAUGAGAGUCACGCGUAAACAUACUCGCACGCAUAUACAGAAAGCAUACAGUAUGCCCAUGCAACUUCAACUCUCUCCCUCUCUUAGAAACCAGUCUCAGAUGAAGAACUUUUGACAUUGCCGAGUGCUACUGCUUAACGUGGAGUUCAGAGGCGGGUUUGCACAACAAACAGAUGUUCUUUGAUGUCAGCUGCAGUGAGGGGGAGGCAAAAAAUGGGAACGCUAAAAAGAAGUAGGAGGAAGGUGUCAGAACUCUAAUCACCAUGCAGCGCUCAGAAAGAAAUCUAUUGUAUCUCUUAGCACAAACACUGACUUUGAGUCACAGUUACAACGCCGGCUCGCUGAUCCAGAGAAGCUAAAUUACACAGGCUGUCAACCAAACCAACGUAGAGCUCCGUUCGGGCUUGUAAUAAAUUAUGUAAAAGAGCCUAACAGCAAGAAAAUGGCCGUGCCAUUUACUGUCACUUCAGACAAUUUGUAUUAUGACAUUUCACGAACGCUUGGCCAAUUACACUGCAUAGAUCUAUUGCAUAAACUAAAUAAUAGUUUCUCCACUCCAGCUAUGUGAUUUAGUUAUUCAUUAAACCACCCACAUCACAAGUGCAAAAUACAGCUCAGGACAUGUACUCCAUGAACAGCUCAUUUAGGUUAGUGUGUGUGUGUGUCAGCACUGUGUAUACGUUUUACACCCGCAUGCCUACAAAACCAGUAGUAUUUUCCAAAACAACUACGUUUACAUGUC